UAUAAAGCAGAUGUAUUGCCAUUAUGAUGAUAUCAUUUAUUAAUUAGACGUGGGCUGACUGGUACUUCUGACUUUUUUUCAUCCAGUGCUCUCUCAGUGCUGUGCUUGGGACUCAUCCAAAAGAGUUUCUGCUGCCAGAGUGGAUGUUUAUUGUGUAAUUUUUCCACUGUGUCCUGGACUAAAGAGCACUGCCAGUCUCCUGGUUUGUAUAGGUCUGUACCAGGACUCUCUCCCACCUCUCAUCUUGGACAGAAUAGAAUACUAAUGGAAUCCAACACAGGAACUUAAUACUGAUGUUCUUCCAGCUAAACACAGUUGUAGUGAUAGGGUGAUAGGCAAACUAAAGCAGCAGCACAAGCAGUGAUCAGUGUCUCACCAUUUGACCAAUAGAAACAAACCUCUGCAGUGCUGAAGGUGGAGUGACAGCCAAACCAUCAAAUCAGGCAGAAGGAAGGUGGCCAUUACUGCAGCAAAGGAGGAAAUCGGCAAUAAACAGCGUUACUAUCUGACUUGCACUGUAGGGGCAUAUGGAGGCGGGGUCAGGCAGGAGGAAUUCUUCCCAAACUUCACAACACACAGCAACGGGGAAGGAGGCGGUGCACAGUCGUCUGUGACGUACAGAAGGAACUACAUCUCCCAGAAUGCAUCGCUCACACAGAAACAAGGUCAACAUGCAAUGCAAUGCAAUGCCUCCAUCCAUCCUCUCUGAAAAUGUUCAUCUGCCUGAUUGAAAACUCCUGCGCUCCGUGACUUUCUGACACCCAAGACUAUAUUCAGGGCCUAUUUUAAAUCUCAGUCCCGUCUGCAAUUGCCUCACAUGAAAUUGAAAGGGGCAGAGAACACCUAUUUAUUUUUAGCGUUACCAGAUUUUGGGCUCUGUCUGACAGUCUCCUGUUACUCAUUAGCAUUCCCCCGAUUUCUGGCAAAAAUCCAAUGUGCACAUGGGCAGAACAGCGGAGUAAUAUGUGCAGUGCAUAAUCUUCAGGCUUCAUGUGUGCAUGUGCAUGAUGUUGCUUCCAAUGACAAAAUUAUCAACAAGUCCCUCUGUGACAAAUUAAGAAAGUUGAAAGAUCUGCACACACACACCCAGGGCCAUCAUCAGGGGGACACAGGGAGUAACAGUUGUACUGGGCCUAAAGCAGUAGCGUCACUAGAGGGGGGCGGGCCCUGGUGCGUGACGUGCAGCCGGGCCCCGCCCCCUCCGUACGGCCGCAUUUGUCAGUGGCACGUGAGCUGCCGGGGGGCCCUGAGGGGGUGCGGGCCCUGGCCCGCUCGCACCCCCUGCUCCCCCCGUAGUUCCGCCACUGCCCUAAAGGGGUGCUGCUCUUUCCGAAUUAGCAGGCCCCCCUUGGCAGCCUGUAAGCUGAAUCCGAAGUGCAAUGUCCCAAAGACCUGGAAACCCAAAGACACAAAGUCCCGAAACCAUGAAAGGAGGCAAAGGAAACAAGAAAAAAGAACCUGAGUUAAUUUAAAGGUGAACAACCCCUUUAAGGAGGACCUGGUUGUGCUGCAUUUCCCGGAUUAGCCGGGCUCCCCUUGAGUCGCUAAAGCCACCGGAGAGAACGGAAGAAGAGGAGGAGAAUGAAAAGGAACACACCAAACUUUAAAGUUAAGUUCCAUUGAAUGCCAAUGGGCUUUUUUUUUUAUUUAAACUCAGGCUAUGAUUUUUUUUUUAACUUUUAUGGGGGGACCCUGGCCACCAGUGAUUUUUUUGUAACUUUUAUGGGGGGGACCCUGGCCACCAGUGUUUUUUUUACUUGUAGGAGGCACCCUGACCAAUGCAUUUUGUAGUGGGGGGGACUGCCACUGAUCUUUUUUUUAACUUUAAGGGUGGGCUGGCCACCAAUGUUUUUUAUAAAUUAGGUGGGGGGGCUAAAGGAUGUGCUGAUACCGAGUGCCUGUUUCACUGAUAUUAAUAAAUUGUCAGUCGAGCAUUCUAAUGUCAAAAUGUGCUAUUCAUGCAGUGGAUACUGUACCUUUGUUGUUAUAUAUAGAAACAUACUAGAAGUGACCAUGGAGUUCUGUGAGCAUAUAAAGGACAAAGACUGAGUGCUCUUAUACACGUCAUAAAAGUUUCCGCACGGGACAAAAAAACAGCAUUUGAACAAGAAGGUGCUGAGAAUUGUUCAUAUUAGUCAGUGAAAUAAAAA